UACGUAGGGGGCAAGCGUUGUCCGGAUUUAUUGGGCGUAAAGAGCUCGUAGGUGGUUUGGUAAGUCGGAUGUGAAAUCUCCAGGCUCAACCUGGAGGGGUCAUUCGAUACUGCCAUGACUAGAGGUCGGUAGGGGAGUGUGGAAUUCCUGGUGUAGCGGUGGAAUGCGCAGAUAUCAGGAGGAACACCAAUAGCGAAGGCAGCUCGCUGGGACGUUACUGACACUGAGGCGCGAAAGCGUGGGGAGCGAACAGG
rnacentral:rRNA from 1 species